rnacentral:rRNA from 1 species
AUACGUAGGUGGCAAGCGUUGUCCGGAAUCAUUGGGCGUAAAGCGCGCGCAGGCGGUCCUUUAAGUCUGAUGUGAAAUCUUGCGGCUCAACCGUAAGCGGUCAUUGGAAACUGGGGGACUUGAGUGCAGGAGAGGAAAGCGGAAUUCCAUGUGUAGCGGUGAAAUGCGUAGAGAUAUGGAGGAACACCAGUGGCGAAGGCGGCUUUCUGGCCUGUAACUGACGCUGAGGCGCGAAAGCGUGGGGAGCAAACAGGAUUAGAUACCCUGGUAGUCCACGCCGUAAACGAUGAGUGCUAAGUGUUGGAGGGUUUCCGCCCUUCAGUGCUGCAGCUAACGCAUUAAGCACUCCGCCUGGGGAGUACGGUCGCAAGACUGAA